UGGGGAAUUUUGGACAAUGGGGGAAACCCUGAUCCAGCCAUCCCGCGUGUGCGAUGAAGGCCUUCGGGUUGUAAAGCACUUUUGGCAGGAAAGAAACGUCGCGGGUUAAUACCCCGCGAAACUGACGGUACCUGCAGAAUAAGCACCGGCUAACUACGUGCCGGCAGCCGCGGUAAUACGUAGGGUGCAAGCGUUAAUCGGAAUUACUGGGCGUAAAGCGUGCGCAGGCGGUUCGGAAAGAAAGAUGUGAAAUCCCAGAGCUUAACUUUGGAACUGCAUUUUUAACUACCGGGCUAGAGUGUGUCAGAGGGAGGUGGAAUUCCGCGUGUAGCAGUGAAAUGCGUAGAUAUGCGGAGGAACACCGAUGGCGAAGGCAGCCUCCUGGGAUAACACUGACGCUCAUGCACGAAAGCGUGGGGAGCAAACAGGAUUAGAUACCCUGGUAGUCCACGCCCUAAACGAUGCCAACUAGCUGUUGGGGCCUUCGGGCCUUGGUAGCGCAGCUAACGCGUGAAGUUGACCGCCUGGGGAGUACGGUCGCAAGAUUAAAACUCAAAGGGAAUUGACGGGGUCAUAGCUGUUUCCU
rnacentral:rRNA from 1 species